rnacentral:rRNA from 1 species
GACGAACGCUGGCGGCGUGCCUAAUACAUGCAAGUCGAGCGAAGUUUUUCUGGUGCUUGCACUAGAAAAACUUAGCGGCGAACGGGUGAGUAACACGUAAAGAACCUGCCUCAUAGACUGGGACAACUAUUGGAAACGAUAGCUAAUACCGGAUAACAGCAUUAACUGCAUGGUUGAUGUUUAAAAGUUGGUUAUGCUAACACUAUGAGAUGGCUUUGCGGUGCAUUAGCUAGUUGGUGGGGUAAAGGCCUACCAAGGCGACGAUGCAUAGCCGACCUGAGAGGGUGAUCGGCCACACUGGGACUGAGACACGGCCCAGACUCCUACGGGGGGCAGCAGUAGGGAAUCUUCCGCAAUGGGCGAAAGCCUGACGGAGCAACGCCGCGUGAGUGAAGAAGGAUUUCGGUUCGUAAAGCUCUGUUGUUAGGGAAGAAUGAUUGUGUAGUAACUAUACACAGUAGAGACGGUACCUAACCAGAAAGCCACGGCUAACUACGUGCCAGCAGCCGCGGUAAUACGUAGGUGGCAAGCGUUGUCCGGAAUUAUUGGGCGUAAAGCGCGCGCAGGUGGUUUAAUAAGUCUGAUGUGAAAGCCCACGGCUCAACCGUGGAGGGUCAUUGGAAACUGUUAAACUUGAGUGCAGGAGAGAAAAGUGGAAUUCCUAGUGUAGCGGUGAAAUGCGUAGAGAUUAGGAGGAACACCAGUGGCGAAGGCGGCUUUUUGGCCUGUAACUGACACUGAGGCGCGAAAGCGUGGGGAGCAAACAGG